rnacentral:rRNA from 1 species
GACGAACGCUGGCGGCGUGCCUAAUACAUGCAAGUAGAACGCUUAAGCUUGGUGCUUGCACCGAGCGGAUGAGUUGCGAACGGGUGAGUAACGCGUAGGUAACCUGCCUGGUAGCGGGGGAUAACUAUUGGAAACGAUAGCUAAUACCGCCUAAGAGUAGAUGUUGCAUGACAUUUGUUUAAAAGGUGCAAUUGCAUCACUACCAGAUGGACCCGCGUUGUAUUAGCUAGUUGGGGAGGUAACGGCACACAAAGGCAACGAUACAUAGUCGACCUGAGGGGGUGAACGUCCAAACUGGGAAGUGAACACUGCCAAGACUCCGACGGGGGGCAACAGUAGGGGAUCUUCGGCAAUGGACGGAAGUCUGACCGAGCAACGCCGCGUGAGUGAAGAAGGGUUUCGGAUCGUAAAGCUCUGUUGUAAGAGAAGAACGAGUGGGAGAGUGGAAAGUUCACAAUGUGACGGUAUCUUACCAGAAAGGGACGGCUAACUACGUG